rnacentral:rRNA from 1 species
AUUGAACGCUGGCGGCAUGCUUUACACAUGCAAGUCGAACGGUAACAGGUUAAGCUGACGAGUGGCGAACGGGUGAGUAAUGCAUCGGAACGUGCCCGAUCGUGGGGGAUAACGCAGCGAAAGCUGCGCUAAUACCGCAUACGAUCUGAGGAUGAAAGCGGGGGACCGUAAGGCCCCGCGCGAUCGGAGCGGCCGAUGUCAGAUUAGGUAGUUGGUGGGGUAAAGGCUCACCAAGCCAACGAUCUGUAGCUGGUCUGAGAGGACGACCAGCCACACUGGGACUGAGACACGGCCCAGACUCCUACGGGGGGCAGCAGUGGGGAAUUUUGGACAAUGGGCGAAAGCCUGAUCCAGCAAUGCCGCGUGAAGGAAGAAGGCCUUCGGGUUGUAAACUGCUUUUGUACGGAGCGAAAAGGUUCUCUCUAAUACAGAGGGCUCAUGACGGUACCGUAAGAAUAAGCACCGGCUAACUACGUGCCAGCCGCCGCAGUAA